rnacentral:rRNA from 1 species
GAUGAACGCUAGCGGCAGGCUUAAUACAUGCAAGUCGAGGGGCAGCAGUUUUGUAGCAAUACAGAAGCUGGCGACCGGCAAACGGGUGCGGAACACGUACGCAACCUUCCUUUAACUGGAAGAUAGCCCACCGAAAGGUGGAUUAAUACUCCAUAGCAUAUUGAAGAGGCAUCUCUUAGAUAUUAAAGCUCCGGCGGUUAAAGAUGGGCGUGCGUCUGAUUAGGUAGUUGGCGGGGUAACGGCCCACCAAGACUUCGAUCAGUAGCUGAUGUGAGAGCAUGAUCAGCCACACGGGCACUGAGACACGGGCCCGACUCCUACGGGAGGCAGCAGUAAGGAAUAUUGGUCAAUGGACGCAAGUCUGAACCAGCCAUGCCGCGUGGAGGAUGAAGGCCCUCUGGGUUGUAAACUUCUUUUCUUUGGGACGAAACCCCUGUUUCUACGGGGACUGACGGUACCAGAGGAAUAAGCACCGGCUAACUCCGUGCCAGCAGCCGCAGUAACAC